GAAAAUUGUCUUGGAAUAAUACUUGGGAAUCGGCUAAGAUGCAGGUCGAGAGGUAUCUCGUCAGGCGUCUAGACUCUUGAAGCGGAGUGAUUACUGGGUUAUUUUGCUAUGCUAUGAUGUAUAUAUAUAUAUA